UACAGAGGUGUCAAACGUUGUCCGGAAUUAUUGGGCGUAAAGAGCGUGUAGGCGGCUUGGUAGGUCCGCUGUGAAAACUCGAGGCUCAACCUCGAGAUGUCGGCGGAAACCACUUGGCUAGAGUCCGGAAGAGGAGAGUGGAAUUCCUGGUGUAGCGGUGAAAUGCGCAGAUAUCAGGAAGAACACCUAUGGCGAAGGCAGCUCUCUGGGACGGUACUGACGCUGAGACGCGAAAGCGUGGGGAGCGAACAGG
rnacentral:rRNA from 1 species